UGCCCUUGGCUUGGCUGUUCCGCAGGCCGUCGCUCUCCAUUGUCCCUGCGGCGCGACUCGCCCUCCGCCUCCUGCACCCUCGGUUAAGAAGGGGCCAGCCAGCUGCCCGAGCCCCGCCUCCCUCGCCUCCUGGCUUGGCGAGCUUCCCUCCGGCGGCUCGGCGCGGGGAGGUAAGGGACUCUGCGCGCCGGAUUCAUGGUUUCCUGUCUCCUUCCUACCCCACCGCCACCGCCGCCCCCAACCUCCGCGGGAUUCGGGUGGCUUUCCUUUCCAAUGCGCAUUUCUAUGACUGUUCCUCUGGCACGCGUCCUCCCCACGAGGUCCUUCUGAAGGAGAUUUAGAACUCAAGGCGGCUUGCACGGUCCUCUUCCUCCUCUCCAUUUUAUCUUCACAACAACCCUGUGAGGACAAUAAAAUGGCAAUCUUCUUUGUACUGGCAAAAAAAUGAAAUAAAAUUAGUUUGGUCUACAUCAGGGAUGAGCAACGUGCAUCCCUUGGUAUAAUUUCAUGGGGCCUUCAGCCUAAUUUCAAAAGCCUUCUGCAUGCGAUCAGUUUGGGCAAAAGUGAUCAGUCCCGUCCC